UACGUAGGUGGCAAGCGUUGUCCGGAGUUAUUGGGCGUAAAGCGCGCGCAGGCGGUGCGGUAAGUCUCUGGUGAAAGCGCUCGGCUUAACUGGGCGAGGGCCGGGGAGACUGCCACGCUGGAGGGGAGCAGAGGCGAGUGGAAUUCCUGGUGUAGCGGUGGAAUGCGCAGAUAUCAGGAGGAACACCGGUGGCGAAGGCGGGUCUCUGGGCCGUUACUGACGCUGAGGAGCGAAAGCGUGGGGAGCGAACAGG
rnacentral:rRNA from 1 species